AUUGAACGCUGGCGGCAUGCUUUACACAUGCAAGUCGAGCGGCAGCGCGGGGGGCAACCCUGGCGGCGAGCGGCGAACGGGUGAGUAAUGCAUCGGAACGUACCCUGGAGUGGGGGAUAACGCCGCGAAAGCGGCGCUAAUACCGCAUAUGCUCUGAGGAGGAAAGUGGGGGACCGCAAGGCCUCACGCUCUGGGAGCGGCCGAUGUCCGAUUAGCUAGUUGGUGGGGUAAAGGCUUACCAAGGCGACGAUCGGUAGCUGGUCUGAGAGGAUGAUCAGCCACACUGGGACUGAGACACGGCCCAGACUCCUACGGGAGGCAGCAGUGGGGAAUUUUGGACAAUGGGGGCAACCUUGAUCCAGCCAUGCCGCGUGAGUGAAGAAGGCC
rnacentral:rRNA from 1 species